rnacentral:rRNA from 1 species
GUGGGGAAUAUUGCACAAUGGGGGAAACCCUGAUGCAGCAACGCCGCGUGAGUGAAGAAGUAUUUCGGUAUGUAAAGCUCUAUCAGCAGGGAAGAAAGUGACGGUACCUGACUAAGAAGCCCCGGCUAACUACGUGCCAGCAGCCGCGGUAAUACGUAGGGGGCAAGCGUUAUCCGGAUUUACUGGGUGUAAAGGGAGCGUAGACGGCACAGCAAGUCUGAAGUGAAAUCCCCGGGCUCAACCCGGGAACUGCUUUGGAAACUGUUGGGCUGGAGUGUUGGAGAGGCAAGCGGAAUUCCUAGUGUAGCGGUGAAAUGCGUAGAUAUUAGGAGGAACACCAGUGGCGAAGGCGGCUUGCUGGACAAUCACUGACGUUGAGGCUCGAAAGCGUGGGGAGCAAACAGG